UAGGGAAUCUUCGGCAAUGGGGGGAACCCUGACCGAGCAACGCCGCGUGAGUGAAGAAGGUUUUCGGAUCGUAAAGCUCUGUUGUUAAGGAAGAACGAGUGUGAGAAUGGAAAGUUCAUACUGUGACGGUACUUAACCAGAAAGGGACGGCUAACUACGUGCCAGCAGCCGCGGUAAUACGUAGGUCCCGAGCGUCGUCCGGAUUUAUUGGGCGUAAAGCGAGCGCAGGCGGUUAGAUAAGUCUGAAGUUAAAGGCAGUGGCUCAACCAUUGUAGGCUUUGGAAACUGUUUAACUUGAGUGCAGAAGGGGAGAGUGGAAUUCCAUGUGUAGCGGUGAAAUGCGUAGAUAUAUGGAGGAACACCGGUGGCGAAAGCGGCUCUCUGGUCUGUAACUGACGCUGAGGCUCGAAAGCGUGGGGAGCGAACAGG
rnacentral:rRNA from 1 species